GACGAACGCUGGCGGCGUGCUUAACACAUGCAAGUCGAACGGAAAGGCCCUGCUUUUGUGGGGUGCUCGAGUGGCGAACGGGUGAGUAACACGUGAGUAACCUGCCCUUGACUUUGGGAUAACUUCAGGAAACUGGGGCUAAUACCGGAUAGGAGCUCCUGCUGCAUGGUGGGGGUUGGAAAGUUUCGGCGGUUGGGGAUGGACUCGCGGCUUAUCAGCUUGUUGGUGGGGUAGUGGCUUACCAAGGCUUUGACGGGUAGCCGGCCUGGGAGGGUGACCGGCCACAAUGGGACUGAGGUACGGCCCAGACUGCUACGGGAGGCAACAGUGGGGAAUAUUGCACAAUGGGCGGAAGCCUGAUGCAGCAACGCCGCGUGCGGGAUGACGGCCUUCGGGUUGUAAACCGCUUUCGCCUGUGACGAAGCGUGAGUGACGGUAAUGGGUAAAGAAGCACCGGCUAACUACGUG
rnacentral:rRNA from 1 species